ensembl:snRNA U6 U6 spliceosomal RNA
AUCCACACAAUUAUUUUGAUAGCUUCAUGAAGCUGGAAGGAUACAGAAAUCAGGAUGGUCCAUGUGCUAAGAUGUCACGUAAAUUUGUGAAGUAUUCUGUAUUUUU